rnacentral:rRNA from 1 species
GACAAUGGGCGCAAGCGCUGAUCUAGCCAUGCCGCGUGAGUGAUGAAGGCCCUAGGGUCGUAAAGCUCUUUCAACUGUGAAGAUAAUGACGAUAACAGUAGAAGAAGCCACGGCUAACUACGUGCCAGCAGCCGCGGUAAUACGUAGGUGGCAAGCGUUGUCCGGAAUUAUUGGGCGUAAAGCGCGCGCAGGCGGUCCUUUAAGUCUGAUGUGAAAGCCCACGGCUCAACCGUGGAGGGUCAUUGGAAACUGGGGGACUUGAGUACAGAAGAGGAAAGUGGAAUUCCACGUGUAGCGGUGAAAUGCGUAGAGAUGUGGAGGAACACCAGUGGCGAAGGCGACUUUCUGGUCUGUAAUUGACGCUGAGGCGCGAAAGCGUGGGGAGCAAACAGG